rnacentral:rRNA from 1 species
UACGAAGGGGGCUAGCGUUGCUCGGAAUCACUGGGCGUAAAGGGUGCGUAGGCGGGCCUUUAAGUCAGGGGUGAAAUCCUGGAGCUCAACUCCAGAACUGCCUUUGAUACUGAAGAUCUUGAGUUCGGGAGAGGUGAGUGGAACUGCGAGUGUAGAGGUGAAAUUUGUAGAUAUUCGCAAGAACACCAGUGGCGAAGGCGGCUCACUGGCCCGAUACUGACGCUGAGGCACGAAAGCGUGGGGAGCAAACAGG